rnacentral:rRNA from 1 species
UACGGAAGGCAGCAGGGGGAAUAUUGCACAAUGGGCGCAAGCCUGAUGCAGCCAUGCCGCGUGUAUGAAGAAGGCCUUCGGGUUGUAAAGUACUUUCAGUCGUGAGGAAGGUGUUAAGGUUAAUAACCUUAGCAAUUGACGUUAGCGACAGAAGAAGCACCGGCUAACUCCGUGCCAGCAGCCGCGGUAAUACGGAGGGUGCGAGCGUUAAUCGGAAUUACUGGGCGUAAAGGGCACGCAGGCGGUUAAUUAAGUUGGAUGUGAAAUCCCCGGGCUUAACCUGGGAAUGGCAUUCAAGACUGGUUAGCUAGAGUCUUGUAGAGGGGGUAGAAUUCCAUGUGUAGCGGUGAAAUGCGUAGAGAUGUGGAGGAAUACCGGUGGCGAAGGCGGCCCCUGGACAAAGACUGACGCUCAUGUGCGAAAGCGUGGGGAGCAAACAGGG